UACGUAGGGUGCGAGCGUUAAUCGGAAUUACUGGGCGUAAAGCGUGCGCAGGCGGUUUUGUAAGCCGGAUGUGAAAUCCCCGGGCUUAACCUGGGAAUGGCAUUCGGGACUGCAAGGCUGGAGUGCGGCAGAGGAGACUGGAAUUCCUGGUGUAGCAGUGAAAUGCGUAGAUAUCUGGAGGAACACCGGUGGCGAAGGCGGCAUCCUGGACCGGCAUUGACGCUGAGGCGCGAAAGCCAGGGGAGCAAACGGG
rnacentral:rRNA from 1 species